rnacentral:tRNA from 1 species
ACCUGAAUGGCUCAGUCAGUGGAGCAUGUGAUUCUUGAUCUCCGGGUUGUAGGUUCGAGCCCCACAUUGGGUG